GGAAAGGAAAUGAUGCGUAGAGGGUCGUAGUUAGCAACGCUCCGGCUGAGUUUCAAAUCAGCACAACCAGAAGCCGUGAGGAGUCCUGCUGAAUCAUCCACACAUCACACAAAAGACCCAACUGCAUCACUUCCUGCCGGCUGGACUGCAUCCUGAAAUGUGAGCCAGCAAAGGGUUCGACUAACUCCCACUUCCACCCUGAGACGUACACGGCAUCGGGGCAUCCAGAAGCCCAGAUAUGAGCAACGCCCUGAAAACUCACACUAUUAUUUUUAAAGACUCUGUGCUGCAUCUGAGCAUAUUUAACACGUUUUGACACAGCUGAGCCUCUUUGUUCUCUAACAGCUGGCGUACAGAGAGACAGUACGUUCUCCAUUAGGUACUUUAAUUAACCAAUAUGGGAGAAUACAGACCAAAAAUGGACAUUUGCUGAACAGAACAACACAGUCAGAACAUUAAUGCAGCUAAAAAAGUACAAAAAAUACAUGCAUUUUGUAAGAUGGGG